rnacentral:rRNA from 1 species
GUGUCAGCAGCCGCGGUAAUACGGGGGGGGUAAGCGUUGUUCGGAAUUACUGGGCGUAAAGGGCUCGUAGGCGGCCAACUAAGUCAGACGUGAAAUCCCUCAGCUUAACUGGGGAACUGCGUCUGAUACUGGAUGGCUUGGAUUCGGGAGAGGAAUGCGGAAUUCCAGGUGUAGCGGUGAAAUGCGUAGAUAUCUGGAGGAACACCGGUGGCGAAGGCGGCAUUCUGGACCGACAUUGACGCUGAGGAGCGAAAGCCAGGGGAGCAAACGGGAUUAGAUACCCCGGUAGUCC